UACAGAGGGUGCGAGCGUUAAUCGGAAUUACUGGGCGUAAAGCGUGCGCAGGCGGCUUCGCAAGUCAGACGUGAAAUCCCCGGGCUUAACCUGGGAAUGGCGUUUGAAACUACGGAGCUGGAGUGUGGCAGAGGGGAGGUAGAAUUCCACGUGUAGCGGUGAAAUGCGUAGAGUAUGUGGAGGAAUACCGAUGGGCGAAGGCAGCCUCCUGGGCCAACACUGACGCUCAUGCACGAAAGCGUGGGGAGCAAACAGG
rnacentral:rRNA from 1 species